rnacentral:misc_RNA from 1 species
AACCUUAUGGACCUGCGGGCGUAUACCUGCGGAGGGAUCAUUACAGAGUUUUAAAACUCCCAAACCCAUGUGAACAUACCUGUUGCCUCGGCGGCCUACCCGGCAGCUACCCUGUAGCUACCCUGUAGACCGCCGGCGGAAUACAAAACUCUUGUUUUCAGUUGUCAUUUCUGAGAAUAAAACAAAUAAAUCAAAACUUUUAACAACGGAUCU